AAGGCAAGUCAGGAGGGCUCUCGCAAGAGCUUGGAGAAAGAUUGGUCAAAUUCAUCGAGGUUAACAAUCAAUCGAUGGAGGACCGUCAAAAGGUGAUAAAUAGCCAGGUUCUUUUAUCAAAUCAACAACUUGAAACUGCAAAGAUCAACAACAAGACAAAAAUGUUGGAUGUUUAUUCCAAAAUGCUUUUAGCGGACACAUCUAAGAUGGAUGAUGGUGAAAAGGCCCGGCGUGCAAAGGCUUUGAGUAAUAUGGAGGCCAUGUUAUUUUCUUGAAGGAGAUGCAGGUGAUUGAAGGGAAAGAAGUGGUGCACUACGAAGCAUAUUAGAAGUUAGCUCGGUCAGUUUGUUGUGUGAACCUGAUGGAUCGUUCAUCACUUUUGGUGUCGGGUCAGUUUAUUUUGUAAACCAUGGAUUGUUAUUGUGUGUACCUGGUGGAUUUUUAAUUGUGUACCUGAUGGACCGAUCAGCUACUCUAGAAUUGAUGUGAACGUGGUGUUUUGCUGUUAGCUUUUGGACUGAUCAGCUACUAUUGCCAGUUACCUUUUUAA